ACCAUGUCAUACUUUUUAAAAAAAUAUAUAUUUUUUUACUUUUAUUUUGUUGGAGGAUCUAAUCAAAACCUUACCGUGCAAAUUUCCUUGACCUCAGACUUGGUGAUGUAGCCGUUCUUGUCGACGUCGAAGAGCGAGAAGGCCCACUCCAGCUUCCUGGUGGUCUUUCCGGUGGAGGUCAUGUGCAGGGCGAUGAUGUACUCCUUGAAGUCCAGGGUGCCGUCGUCGUUGCUGUCGAAGGAUCUGAAGACGUGCUGGGCGUACGUGUUGCCGUCGCUGUCUGGGAAAAACUUGCUGUAGAUGGACUGGAACUCAUCCUUGGUCAGGCGACCGCUCGGACACUGCCUCUUGAAGUUGUCGUACCACUGGGUGAUCUCCGUCUCGGAGAACUUGGUGUGGAGCUUCAGGUCCUCCAGGAUCUCCUUGGACACGGCGCUGCUUUUGCUGUUUCCCAUGACUGAUGGUGAUGACACAAGUGGGGGGUGGGGGUGGCGGGGUCACAUUAGUAAUUUGAGAGUCUUUAAGCUGCAAUACUUCACAAAAACAAGCGACUGUUGUUACGUCAGCUUCCCAAAUCUUCUCAAAGGUCUUAAAGCCAUGAGUGAUGCAAUAUAUUGAACGAUGGGUUGACUAAGCAGCUAGCAUAGAACGCGUUGCAGCGAUACAUUUUUAACAAAACAAGCUUACUCAAAUGUAUCUAACCUAACUAUUUUCACUUGUUAUUGUUUAAAAAAAAAAAAAUCAUACAGACUUUCAAUCUUGAGGGGACAUAACGCCACACGGCUUUAUGUGAAGGAAGAGGCAGUGUUACCACACUCCUCAGAUAGUUUAGGAGCGUUAAAUAGAUAAUAAAUUUCCGACGCUCUAAUUUGUUAAUAAUGCAUACAAACAACAAAUGACGUGGGGACAGAGCAAGAGUUUUGAUUUGUGAAAAUAUACGAAACUGACCAUAUUUUGGACAUGCGAAGUUUCCGCCCGACAGCGACGCUAUGUGCUAGUUUCAAGUCUUGACCGUAAAGUUUCAACCGGGUCUCAAAUUCCAGCGGCAAAAAUCAAGCAAGUCAAGUUUUGCUCAGUCACAGCAUAUAUUCGCACAUUAGCCACUUUGCGCUCAGUAUCUGUACUUGCUUUGGUUACUGUAGUUGUACGACCACAUUCACAAUCACUUUUUUUUUUUUUUUUUUUUUUUCAAUGCUCCCAAACCGGUCUUCGUAUUGUCCAUUACUUUCUCUUCUCGUUUAAACGCAUAACCAACACGAAGCUUAGUUCAUGUUUGCCCGGCUCGUCGUCAGAAAACAAAAACAGUGACCGGAGUCGACUCGAGUCUAAAUCGUAAUGACUCGAGUCGUCUUCUCUGGCAGUGAAGGAUGAAGUUAGGUGUCGUAGUUGUCGUCGUCUCUUAUCUUUGAGUCGCAAAGCUUUUGUGUUGCUGUUCUCUGUUUUCCCGUUUGAUCAACGACAUAAUCCCUCAAUCCAAAUGUAAUAAUCUCUUGAACUCCCUCCGUGAUACUCGCUUCAUGAGGUGGCCUUCUGCACUCUUGCAAAGACAAACCAAAUGGCACACGGUCUUAAACAAAUGCUGAUUUUCAAAUGUUCACAGACUUGUUAAGUCAUGUAGUUCAAGUCUAAAUCAGGGCAAGUCUUCAUAAGUGUUAACCAAGUCUUGAAAUUGGUAAUUUAAGUCAAACUCAAGUCAAUUUAUGUGAUUCGAGUCCCUCACCUCUGGAUUAUAAAACCGAUAAUGAUGAUGUUUCCUACCGAGGACAAGUCGACAAUCUAGCAGCUUUGCAGAAGAAUGGGCCUUCAAGUCAGUCCUGGGAGGAGAAGAUUCUGGAAGGAACAGAAAUCAUUAAGUUGAUCAAGCCUAACGAUGUCACCUGACUGGGUGUACGUGCUCAUCGAGAGAACGUUACAACCGAUUAUUUUUCUUAUUUUGGGUUUUGUUUCCUACCUUGUUUGUGUGCGCGGGAGCAGCGGAUCCGUGCGGGACCGACGGGAAUAUUUAGUCUGGCGGCCGCCGAGGAAAUCUGCCUCCACCUGCUUGGAUUAGUCAAUUAAACGCCGUCAUCCUGGGGCGGAGCCACGGGAGAUUCCGUUGUAUCACACAUCAACCUCAGUGAGGCUGUGGGUCCAUGAUGGGAUGCGGGAGGAGAGUGGCAGCGGAAAUCAAAACAAACAUCAGGAUCGAGUGAUUAAGCGAAAGCGAGACUUUGGCGCUGCGACUUUUGACCUUACGACGAGCCAAGACUUAGCGUGUCAGUCGAGCAGGUGACGGCUAUGCGGCGUUUCAACGAGCUUAAGGGGCGGCUGCAUUGUGGCGGCACGCCAUCUGCUCCACCUGCGCUCUUUCGCCACACAGGUGCCACUUCUUGCCAGCUGCAUGAUGGGAAAUAGCCAGCUCUUGAUGCUGACUUCAUGCAGUACACAUCUGUUUUCAAAUGUACGUAGGAGUAAAAGUAAAAAGUCUUCAGAAAAAAAGGAAUCCGGUGAUUGAAACGAGGGGGCGGGGAGAUUAGCGACGGAGUCGGGCAGCCAAUGUGGCGAGUUGAGGCGGCCUAAAGAGGAUUUGGCAUCGGAACAAAGCAACGGCGGAAAAGGGAACGGAAAAACGGGCCUUCCAGUGUCGUCAAAUCCCCUUGACCAGACUUUGGACGGAUCUAUUUUCAGAAGCAAAGGUCAAGCUCAUUGUCGUCACGGUGACGAGGAGAUCUUCAUUGCCACAGAAAUAAGAAGAGGAAGAAGAAGAAGAAAAAAAUGGAGCAACUGCUUCAUCUUCUUGUUUUGGUCUCAUGAACUUCUACAUGCGCACUCAGUGGACUUGAUUGGCUUUAAAUGGGCCACAGAAAUGUAUGCGCUGGUCCGGAUCUGGCCCCCACCCCUUGAAUUUGACAUGUGCUGUAUAGAAUAUGAAUUAGUUAUUGUAACAUUUGGAUUUCUUUUUUGUAUCCAAAAAUAGUCAACAUUUUAAUUCCUAUGGCAUUUAGAUACACGUGUUAGUUGUGUUUCUUUAGUGUGGAGACUGUGAUGGGGGGAAGGGGGGGGGGGGGCAGAGAGAUUCAUGAUAAACUGGAUUUUUUUUUUUUUUUUCCUUUUUAAACACGUUGCAUUACACUAAAUUAGAACGAUUUAAUACCGUCGCUGCCCCAAAACUUCUCUGGCCACCUCACAGGAAAACGACGAACUACCACCUGAAGUCAUCAUAAUUGCGUGUGACUGUUGACCAAAAAAAAAAAAAAAAAAAAAACAGAUGUUGGUAGAAUACAUUUUUAAAAAAGCUUUAUUGAAAUGUAACUUGAGAUCAUUAAAUGACAAUAUAAAUGUGAAGGUAUGAAGAGUGUAACAGGAGAGCAAGGUGAAAUGUUUUGGACAAGCUGGUAACACUUGAAUGUGAACACUGGCUGAAGUAGGUGAGCCCUGGCCGCCCUCCGCACUCUCUCUCCUCAGCGGUGGAUUCUGUACGUGAGGAUCUUGCGGCUGAGGUUGCGAGCCAGGCGCUCCACGGCGCUGCCGACGUGUCCCAGCUCCUUUUUGUACGUCAGGCCCUCGAUGUUUCCGCUGUACCACAGCACCCAGCCGCCCAGCGACAUCAGGACCAACAGAGCUCCUGCGCGCGCGCACACAAAACUAAUGUGAUGAAACCUCAUUUUGGACUUGAAAUAGUUAUUUUCAGAUAAAUUACAAAGGUUGUUCAAAGUGUCAAAAGCAUCCACUUUGGACUCAAUGAGUGGAUCAACACAUGUACACAGAUAAUUUAAAAACACACACAGGCAUAUAGUCUUUAUCCUCUGCAAAGAAUGAUGAAUAUUACUGCAGCUCACAGAGUUGGAUGAGAAAUGCUUUUUGUGUGUCUGUCUGUAUUAUACUGCCACCAAGUGGCCAGCUCACGCACACCGGAAGGAGCAGCACAAUGUCCAUCAAAUUGAAGCAAAGAAUUUGGCAAUAACUUUAAUUUCUUUACAUUCUAUUUAUUUCAUGACUGUAUGUACUUAUGAUUUACAAUAUGGUAGAGUGCUAUUUUUCCUAUUUAAAAACAAACUAAUGGCAUUUCAAUGGAGAAAGGUGAUUUAUGACCACAGUACAUAAUAUGUACUUUUGUGUACAACAACACAUGUUGAUCCCAGCUGUGCACUCACGUACCCGUGUAGACGAGCAAGUCUCCAAAGUCUUGACCUUUCACCUCCAGGGGGGCAAAGACCCCCAGCAGCAGGGCGACGCCCCCGAGCACAUCCAUGAGCACGGCGAAGGCCAGAGCCAGUUUGCAGUGGGACAAACCGUCACACAGGCCCAUGCUGGCUUGCUGAUACUCUGGUCAGGGGAAGGGAGGGGGGCUAAAAAAAUAAAUAAAAUUGGUCAUAAAAAUGCUCCAUUAUGGGAUAAACACUUUGAGGGAAGUCAAGUAAGCUAAGGUGAGGCUUAUGUGGCAAAUGCAAAUGUAUGUAU